CCACUUUGGCAGCAUGUAUGCUAAAAUUCAAAUGAUACAGAGACGAUUAGCAUGGUCCCUGUGCAAGAAUAAUAUGCAAAUUUGAGAAGCACUCCAUAUUUUU
rnacentral:snRNA from 1 species